UCACUCUGGACAACCAUGCGGAUCAAAUCUACUGUCAACCUUAUUCUUUCCAGAUCAUUCUGAGUGAUGUCAACCAAACUGCUGCUUUGGGAAGGCAAAUAACAACCAAUAUCUACA